UUCUUGACUAACUUUGCAUGCGGGCUCCCUGCACAUCUGUGCGGCCAACCGUAAUGGGGUUAGUCUCUUCACUGUCUCUCCCGUCAAUUUAUUUGGUCGGUGAGGGACGUUCCUAGCCGGUUGCCUGCGUUGCUCAACCCAUUUGGGUAGGCAUCAUAAUUGACCCGCAUCGGAAUUUUGGCCGUGUCGCUGAUAGUUUCCUGUCAGCGGCGCAGCUGAGGCGUCGACAAAGUUCUUCUGUUGCCAUGGAUAAAUGCCACGGCGUUUCAUUAGGAUGUUUUGUCGGGUCUCACGGAUGUUGUGCCUGAUGCGAAUUGUGCGGGCCUUGUGGUCCUACGCUUCGUGAGUCUUCCCAUGCAGGUGUGAUUGCACGUGCGCUCGAUGCAUAGCGAUUGUUGCGCAUUUCACAUGAUCACAGGCGUGUGGAAGCGCUCUCUUGUUCGGAUGACCCAUGAUUGUCGGUUUGUGUCGUUGGUGAGGACCUCCCGUUUGGGUUGGUGCUUAAGACGACACGCGUCGGCUCUCGCUUAAGACGUGC
rnacentral:misc_RNA from 1 species